rnacentral:rRNA from 1 species
GAUGAACGCUAGCGGCAGGCCUAACACAUGCAAGUCGAGGGGCAGCAUAAAAUAAACUUGUUUAUUUGGUGGCGACCGGCGCACGGGUGCGUAACGCGUAUGCAACCUACCUUACACAGGGGGAUAGCCCGGAGAAAUUCGGAUUAAUACCCCAUAGCACUAUCGGAUGGCAUCAUUUGAUAUUUAAAGCUUUGGCGGUGUAAGAUGGGCAUGCGUCCUAUUAGCUAGUUGGUGAGGUAACGGCUCAUCAAGGCUACGAUAGGUAGGGGGCCUGAGAGGGUGGUCCCCCACACUGGUACUGAGACACGGACCAGACUCCUACGGGAGGCAGCAGUGAGGAAUAUUGGUCAAUGGGCGCAAGCCUGAACCAGCCAUGCCGCGUGAAGGAUGAAGGUUCUAUGGAUUGUAAGCUUCUUUUAUUUGGGAAUAAACCCCUUUACGUGUAGAGGGCUGAAGGUACCAAAUGAAUAAGCACCGGCUAACUCCGUGCCAGCAGCCGCGGUAACAC